AUGGCCGGGGGAGGCCUCGGGCCCCUCUGCCUCCCCUGGGGCCUCCUUCCCCAGGGCGGCUGUGCAAAAUGGCAGCCAACUCGAACUACAGCUCCCGUGAUGCCCCGGGAAGAGGAGCGGACUACAGCUCCCGUCGUCCCCCGCGCGGAGGGUGGGCGUGGCUUCCCCGUGGCGUGCCCGCCCACCCCGCGCUACCCUAUAAAUAGGCCCCGGCGGGUUGUGGUAGCCUCUCUCUCGGCCGUCGCCAUCUUGUGGGCGCUCGGUGGCCGCCUCCAUCCACUUCCAUCCGCCGCCCGCGCCGCCAUGAGGGCCAAGUGGCGAAAGAAGCGUAUGCGCAGGCUGAAGCGCAAGAGAAGGAAGAUGAGGCAGAGG
rnacentral:lncRNA from 1 species